UACGGAGGGAGCUAGCGUUGUUCGGAAUUACUGGGCGUAAAGCGCACGUAGGCGGCUUUGUAAGUUAGAGGUGAAAGCCCGGGGCUCAACCCCGGAAUUGCCUUUAAGACUGCAUCGCUUGAAUCCAGGAGAGGUGAGUGGAAUUCCGAGUGUAGAGGUGAAAUUCGUAGAUAUUCGGAAGAACACCAGUGGCGAAGGCGACUCACUGGACUGGUAUUGACGCUGAGGUGCGAAAGCGUGGGGAGCAAACAGG
rnacentral:rRNA from 1 species